rnacentral:lncRNA from 1 species
GUUCAAGAUUAUAAUUAUCAGAUGGGAUCACAAAUACAAUGGGAAAGGAGGGGGCACUUAGGACAAUUGCUACCAUGAUAUCAACAUCUCAUGGGUUUAUAGGAUUCACUAAAAGGAGGAGGUUCAUCAGGGAAGCAAAAGAAUAGAUCAGACCACUCUGUUCUGGAAUCAAAGCGUAACCCCCUUGCUCCUAAUGCCAGCCCUGAAUUUCUGGGCAUAGGACCUGUAUUCCUGGGUCUGUAGCCCACUUUUCCUGCUUUACUUAGUAUCCUGCCCAAUUUUGUCCCUCAGGUUGACUACAAGACUCCUUCCAGUCUUGAUACCUGUUUAGAGACUUUCUCAUGAAUGCAACAGAUGUACAGAUUAUCCCAUGCUGUUGUCAUCAUUUUUGGUGAAGCUUGGCUAAGGAAGAAAUUGUGAGACAUAAAGUGGCGAAUCAGAUCCCAUCAUCACUAUUGACUGCCUGGGUAUUCUCAUGGAAGUUACUUGACCUUUUAUCCCAGGAGUGACCUCAUCACUUCAAUCCUCACAAACACUAAUAUUUCCUUGGAACACAUUCCUAGAAGUGGAACUUCUGGAUCCAAAGACCCUGUGUCCGUGGCUGUUACAGCACUUACCAUCCUCCAUUGCCAUGGCCUGUUGGUGCCUGUGACUUCUGCAGUAAGACCCUGGGGUAGGAACCUGGGCUUUGUAUUCCCUUGGUGUAGCCUCAGUACUUGAAAAAUUAAUGAAGCUUCUUCUAUGUGCUAGUCCCAUUGCCAAGUGAUUAAGCCUGCCCUAGAUAUUAAUACACAUCCCUAAAAUGUUUUCCAAAAGAAGAUGGUAUAUCUUUAAUAUCUUUUGAUGAGCUUACAAACAAUCAUAAAAAUCUAAAUGGAUUGAUCAGGACGUGAAGGGCAUUAUUUUAGAAACUUGUACAAGACAGACUCUGGAUAGAAUUUAGAAGAGCUGACACUCAGAAUGUAUUACUGUAAUAUAAACUUACCCAUCCACCCCCAUUAAAGAAAGUAAACAUGUUUCAUAUUCCAACUGUGUCAAUAACCAAGGGGCUGAAAUGGAUCCCAUAAGAAAACAAACAUUUGGCCUUCAUAAUUAAAGUCAAUAUUAGACAGAGAUCCUGAAUGGACAAGGCAGUCACCUGCUUGCUCUUAGCUCAUGACCGAUGAGCCCUCCCCACACACUGUGGGAGAAACAGCUGCUUUGCCAAGGCUCACCUGGUUAGAAUUUUUCAUGGAGCG